AUGCGCGGUGGCGUCCGCCGGCGGGACCGUCCGUGCCUGUCCAGUCCCGGCGGCUGGGUGGCGCGAGCUUUUUGAGUAAGGUGAAGUGGAAAUUAUCGUGGUCACCUUGCCCUGUGAGGGGGUUCUUCAGCAGUUGGAAAGAUGAGCUCACUUCUGAAGACACAUAACUGGAAGGCAGUGAUGAACAGUAAGCCAGAGACGGCCACUCUUCUGCAGCCAAAGCAAAUAGACUCAUAUCAGAUAAGCACUUCAAUUAAAGACUUGUAUGCUCGCUUUCAGGGAGGUGGAAAGUUCUAAAGUGUCAGCUUUUGCUGAUCCAGCCAUCUGGCCUGAGCUCUUCCUGCCUAUCCUCCCCCACUAAUAAAAGUUGUCAUAGUUUUCUGGAUGGGAUCUGCUGCAGAGGGGAAGUCCUUGAAACCCUGAUUCAAUGGAGGACAUUAGAGAGCUUCUGAGGCUUCAUUGGAUAUUAAGGUGUUCACAUUCAGGAUAGAAUUCAUAAGGACACCAUAGGAGUUCUCCUGUGGUGCAGCUGGUUAAGGAUCUGGCACUGUCACUGCAGUGGCUUGGGUCGCUGCUGUCAUGCAGGUUCGAUCCCUGGCCCAGGAACUUUUACAUGCCUCCUCCCCCAAAAAAAGAUAAAUAAGAAAAUUCGACAAAGCGCAAAAGAGACAAUGGCCCAUUCCUAUCGCGAUAGGAUGAUGGUACUUGAUUUCACCCAGGAAUAAUGUGUUGUGAAACAAGACAAGAGGACUCAGAUUGACUCAUCUAUCCAUCACGUAAGAACCUCCAUCCUCUAAGGCAGACGAACAGAAACGCGAGAAAGCUACAGAGAAGGGGCGGCCAAAGACAUAUGUGUAAAGAGAGAUGGUGUCCUAGGAACCAAGAGAGAUUAUUUCAAGAAGUGGUCGGUAGUUUCGAAUGCUUCUGAUAAAGCAAGAAUGGAAAAGUCCAUGGGACAUACUUGAAUCUCUGGCAGCAUCUGGCACAGUCUCGUUUACAUGGUAGGAAACGAUGUAUUUAUUGAGCUGAAGUAUAGAGAACAAGAAGGAAGACAGGAACAUCUGAACUUUGUUACUAACGCUACUGUUCAGCAGAUCAUCUGUUCCAAACUGUAGAAAUUUAAAUCUUUCCCAUGACUUCUGAGUGUAGCCUCCACUUGGAACAUUUUCUCAGCUUUCCUUAAGCACCGGGAGCAUCUUCCCUGUUGUUACAUGUUGUUCCAAAAACGACUGUUAAUGACUGCAAAAUAUUCCCUUAUUUGGAAGUACCAUGAUUUAUUUAGCCAUUCUCUUGGGGAUUUAGACAGUUUUUAAUGUUUCACUACUAUAAUAACUUUCCCCCCUAACUAUGCUUUUAGGUAACUCUUCAGCCACACUAUUUCCUUGGGCUAGAUUCCUAAAAUAGCAUUGCUUAUUUCUGUUUUUACUCACUUAUAUAGUUCAUUUUCAUAAAUGCUGUAAGGAUGGCAGAAAAGUUCCAAAUGGCAUAAGAAAGGCGUGAAGGUAAGUGUUCUAAAAAUCGGUAGAGGAGUUCCUGUUGUGGCUUAGCAGUAAGAAACUCAACUAGUAUCCAUGAGUAUGAGGGUUCGAUCCCUGGCCUCGCUCAGUGGGUUAUGGAUCCCGUGUUGUCGUGAGCUGCAGUGUAGGUUGUAGCUGCGGCUCCUAUUUGACCCCUAGCCUGAGAACUUCCAUGUGUCGUGGGUGCGGCCCUAAAAAGACGGAAAAAAAACAUUGGUUGAGAAUGAGAGCAGAAGUAAAUUUAGUAGAGAAUAGAGAUGCUGGGAGGACCGGACGGGUAUGAACUUCAGAUCUGAAGGUGCGGUGAUUUAUUCUUCACCCAGCACCCAGAGACUAGACUAGCUACAUAACUUGUGGGGCUCAGUGGGAAACAGAAACGCAGAGUGCCUUUUCAAAAAUUAUUACGACUUUCAAAAUGGCAAUAAGAGAGACAUGAAACCAAGGUCCUUCUAAGGAGAAGGUCUUGAGCGACUUCAUAGGUCACACCUAUGAUACUGGCCUUGCCCAGAGGUUAUGGGGUCCCCCCAAGUUGCGGGCCAAUUAAAAUGUACAGGAGGAGUUCCCUUGUGGCACAGCAGGUUAAGGAUCUGGCAUUGCCACUACAACAGCUUGGGUCACUGCUGUGGUGCAAGUUCGAUCCGCAGCCUAGGAAUUUCCAUGUGCCUUGCGUGCAGCCAAAUAAAAUAAAAUAAAAUGUGCAGGAGACUGAGGGAGGUACCCAUAUAUCACUCUUUUAACUUAUAGGACAAUAGAACAGCACGUAGAGUGGAGCCCCAACAUAUGGGGUCGCCUCUAGACUUUAUUGCCAAAGUGUGUAAGCUCUCAGACAAGGCACUCAACUGCUAUAAACUCUUCAAAUAUUAGCGACUAGAUUAUCUCUAAAAAACCCUGCAGGUUCUGAUCUCUCCAUUUGGAUUGUGAGUAUCUGGGCAAGAGAACUCUGUUUUUUUAAACUUAUUACCUGUAGGAACCAGGGUGGUUAAUUUUUUUUUCUUCUUUUUCCAGCCGUACCUAUGGCUUAUGGAGGUUCCCAGGCUAGGGGUCAUAUUGUAGCUGUAGUUACUGGCCUCUCCCACAGCCACAGCAACGCCAGAUUCGAGCCUCAUCUGCGACCUGUGCCACAGCUUGCAGCAACACUGGAUUUUUAACCCACUGAGUGAGGCCAGGGGUGGAACCCAAAUCUUCUGGGAUACUAGUCAGGCUCUUAACCCACUGAGCCACCAUGGGAACUCCAGAGGGUAGUUAAUUUUAUGUGUAGACUUGGCUGAGUCAUGGUGCCCAGAUAUUUGGUUAAAUAUCAUUCUGGGCGUUUUCAUGAGGGUAUUUUUGGAUGAUGUUAACGUUUAAAACAGUGGACUUUGGGAGCUCCUGAUCAGUGGUCACGAACCUGACUAGGUUUCUGGAGAGACCUGCCUCAUACAGGAACAUAGCACCUAGGAGAUGGUGAAUAAAUCCAUUCAUUCCACACAUGUUUUUCUAAAUGAUGAAUCAACCAAACAUUUCACUCCAUGUACACCAUUUAUUAUACAGAGAUACAUUUUAAAGGAAUUUUCCAUUCAUCAUAAUAUCAAUCUUCAGGACGAAUUUUCUCUAUUAUGUAGUUCAUUGAUUUUUUUAUUCUUUUUUUUCUUUUGUUUUUAAAGUUCUUAUUUCAUCUGAUUUUAGAGUUGAGUCAUAGAGGUGUUUUAGAUUUUUAAAAAGUAUCAUUUGACUUCCAAAAUGGAUGUUAAAUUUGUAAAAGGGACUUUGGAAUUUAAAUAAUAGAAUCAAUGACUCUAAUGCUUCAGGCCUUAAAAAGAUUUUAUAUGAAGUUCAUGUACUUUAUGGGAAUUGUAAUUGGCAAUAAAGUGACUAUAAAAUGGUAGCUGCUAAGAAAUACGAGACUAAUAAGAGUAACAUUAGGAGAAGCAUCCAUACGCUUCCUGAUGUUGCUGGGGGAACUGAGCUCUCAUUGCCUUACUGCAGCAAGCUCAGCAGCAAACGUCAAUAUUGGUUUUUCCUUCUGCUCCGUCUCCUGAUCUCUCAUGCCUGCUUCCUGGGAUCGUCUCCCAAAUAAACUACGAGACCCCUCGUCCUUGUCUGAUUGGAUUCCUAGCCUGGGAGCCUUCCCGUGCCAUGGAUAUGGCCAUAAAACACACACACACACAAAAGGCUUAUCAACCAUGAGGUGUUUCAGUAGGUUGAUGAGACACAUCAAAAGUUUUAAAAAAGAAACUGAAAGUGAGUGCGAUUACAGAGCUGACAAGGCUUGAACACACAAAUUUCACGGCAGAACUUGAGAAUCCUCAUUGUCAUAGAGACGAAGUGAGCCGCAAGGGCCAAAAUAAAGGACAGAAAUCAUUUUGAGGCAGUAUAACAAGUUGCAGAAAAUAAAUGUAUUUGAUCAAGUCAAGUGGAAGCAUGCAGGCUCCAAAAGUCUCCCUGGCGUGACAGGCAAGAAGCUUCCUCUAGAAAAAGUUGGAGAACAGCUUAAUAAUAAUGCACUCAAUGGUCAGUCCUAGGCAGCCUUCCUUCGCACAACUGCCCAGCGCUAGUAAGAGCCCUCUGGUGAUAGUUUUAAAAAGAGUUUUUGAAGCUAGACCAUACCUUUUCAGGUUUGAAACAUUACUACAUUUUUCUGUACAUUUAAAGUUAAAAUAUCUAAGCUCGCUUCAAAUGGGAAUGUUCUUCCCUGUCCUUAAGGAAACAUCUGAAAGGCUCCUCUGUGCCAGGCCACACGCUAAGGGAUACACAACUUCUUUCUUAAAACCAUAGAGUCAAGUUAGAAAGAUAUAUAGACGCAAUUAAGAUGCAUCCUAAGUGCCACAGCAAAUGUUCAAACUGCUAUAGGAGCAAAGAAAUAUGACUAAAGCUACUGGAAUGAUAGAGGAGGCACUGAAACUGCUGUCCGAGCUGCAUCUUAACACAUGAAAGUUUGCCACAGAGAGGCGAGUUAGAUGAAUACUGCAGAUGGAGAGCAGAAGGAGCAGCACCAGAGGUACAGGAGCAAAAGGUGAAAGAGGCUGUAUGUCCAGAUUUCUCCACCAGAGUGUGGGGCGGACAGCAGAAUUCUUGGGGAAGGUUCACAAGAGCUGAGGCUGGAGAAGGUAGGUGCCAGGUUAUGGAAAACUUGACAUGCUGUGGGAAAGGGAGAGCCAUUUAGGAGUUUUAAGCAGAGUCACAGGUGACAAUUACGGGAUCACUGUCAUAAGACAGUGAGAAAUUAGGCUUUGAAUUUAUCAAGUGGCAGGGGACGGGUAAGAAACAGGCAGGACUGAGCUAUGAUCUCGAUUGAAUCUACAUGAUGAGGGAGGGAAUCGCAUUUGUGUCUGAUGACCUCUUUUCUUCAAGGUCAGCUCUUGGUGUGGGGGAGGCUGGAAGGUCAGAGAAAGGUAGGAGGUGUAAACAAAGUGGUGAAGGGAAAAAGGGACCCGUAGGCUUAAACUUUAUGACGAGAAAAUCACCCAAGAAGUUCCCGUUGUGGCUUAGUGGUAACGAGCCCAACUGGUAUCCAUGAGGACGAGGGCUUGAUCCCUGGCCUUGCUUAGUGGGUUAAGGAUCGAUUGUCGCUGUGAGCUGUGGUGUAGAUCGCAGACGAGGCUCAGAUCCCAUGUGGCUAUGGCUGUGGUGUAGGCCAGAAGUUGUAGCUCUGAUUCAACCCCUAGCUAGGGAACUUCCACAUGCCACAGGUGUGGCCCUAAAAAGCAAAAUAAUAAUAAUAAUAAUAACAAUAGAAGACAUGGUUGUUGCAAUCAGGCCUUUUAAAAGUUAAAAAAAGAAAACAUGCAAUAUUGAGGUUGCAAAGAUUUAUUUCAAAUGUGAAAAUACAAAAACCACUUACAUAUAAAACUUAAGGAUUUUAAAACAUCCAAACCUUGUGCCAACUUUAGCUCCUUAUAAAUGUGCUUACAUUUAAUUGAGACAAUUAGUUAGAGUGGGCAUAAAUAUAAAGAGAAUUAUACUUCCGAGAAUGAAGACAUCAGAGAAAAGAAUACAUUCUGUUACUGAUAAAAGCACAGAGCUGUGGUGGUCGGUGUCACAGACUUCCCGACACCCUCUCCAUCCAAAAGAGUACUAGGAGACAAUUGUAGGAAUCUCACGAGGUUGGCAGGGAUUGUGGAGAGUGGCCGUGCAACCCAUUCCUGGCCAAGAAGACCUGAGGAGGCGGAGGAGAGUUUGGUGAGAAACCCUCGAGGAGGGUCCUCAAGGCCCGUGAAGGAGAGAGGAAGAAGGCUGCGCGGCUUUCCCUGUGCUGCCAGGUCUGGAUGGGCCCGUGGAACAGCCAUCGUGCCGCCAGCUGGAGAACAGAGCCACCACUAAAGGCAGCAGAGCAGAAGGAUGAAGAAACCCGACUCCUUGGUGACAUCCUGGGCUGUGGAGCUCACGCUACCGGGACUUCUCAAUAUGUGGGAUUGUAACUAUCUUGUGCUUUAAGCCAUUGGAAUCAGGGUUUUCUGUUACAGCCAACUAAAGCAAGAAUUGAAGGUAGAUUAAACAUUAACAGGUGGUUGUAAUGCAUUGAAUUAAAUUUUCUCUGGGUAAGUCCGUUUCACUUACAGUCGUUUUUUAUUUCAUUUGAGGUUUCCAUAGUCCCCUCCCUCUGAACUGUCAUUAAUCGCUCUUCUUUAUACUAUCACAUUACCCGUCUUCCUCUCGCAUAGUGUCACUGACUAAGACAAACAGAACAGAGGGACGAAAAGUAGCAGCUGAAUUUAAUAGCUGUUAAGCUGCAAAGAGAAGUGUCUGUCUUUUAGAGAUGAUUUGAAGGUUGUGGUAGUGAACUUUUUCUGACAGCAGCCCAUAGCGACAGCAUAUGGAGGAAAGAAUGGGACGAUCUUCCAAGAAUUGUCUUUUUAAAAAUAGAAACAACUAAGCACUUUCUUAAAAUGAAUAAUAUACCCUUUACUUACUUGCCUCCUGGCUGUAUGUGGGAGCACUUAUAAUGCAUUUUUAAUAAUCUCAAAUAAAAAUAGUACAUGCAAAGUCCAAGCUAGUGUUUGACACUGGGUACUGUCACUAACAGUGGUCUACUUAGAACAAAAUACUCUGCUGAAUCUAGCACUCAGCGUCCCAGCGGCUCUAAAGCUCCAGCCAGUUGAUCUGUUCUGCAUCUGCUCGUGUUCCUACAGCUUGAGUUUUGCUUUGGUCUUUCAUCGAUACGUGUGAAAUCUCUGGGCUCGUCGAUGUCUUUCGUAGUUAAAUGCAAGCAGCAACUUUGGCAUUUCUUAUCACAAAAAAACCAUAGGAGAAAGGUGGCAGGCCCAGUGCACUUCCUGGCCGGAGGGGUUUUUCUGUCAAAGCUGGCAAGGUUUGGUCAUUCACCAUCUUCAGUGUCUGACCAUUAAGCUGGACAGAUCUGCAAAGGGGAAGGAUACAUCCAAGUUAGCCGAGUUGUAUGUCUUUCACCUGCUCUAUAAAAGUCAUGAGAUCUUUUUAAGACCAAAAAUAUUUUCUGUGGCAGCCUUUCUGAUAUAACUUGUAUUUCAUUGCUGUAGCACGAGUUUGACCUAGCAGAUCAUUAAGCCACCCUGGUAGAGUUGAGUAGUUGUGACAGAAGCCAUAUGGCCUGCAAAGCCUGAAAUAUUUACUCUCUGGCCCUUUACAGAAAAUGCAGCACACACUAAGCAAGAUGUUGGAGACAUAAAAAGGAUUCGAAUAACGUAUUUCUGGGUUGGUGGCUUUUGGUGAUGGACAGUAAGGAAUUAAAAAACAUUUUUUUUGUGGCAUGCGAAAGUUUCCAGGCCAGGGAUUGACCCCAAACCACAGCAAUGACCCAAGGCACAGCGGUGACCCUAGGGUGGGCCCUGAAUGGCCUAGGCCACCAGGGGACUCCAGAAACAUUUUAUAUAAAGCAAACAAACAUAUAGAAUGCAAUGCGGAUUUCAUUAAUGUAACAUAAAAAUACAGUCAAUGAAAUUUCCUAUUUGUAACUGUGUCCAUACACCCUCCACUCCUCUUCCCUUAGAAGGCAUGCAUUCAUUUUCCUGUUGUCAUUAAACUCUUUUGGUAGAAUGUGUAUUGCUGUGGUGAAACAAAAAUGAUUUUGUUUAGCUAAACCAUAUGUUUUCUUUGCAUUUCACUGUUGGAAUUUAAAUUCAAUACUGAAUGAAAGAAUGGAAAAAAGUUAAGGACAAGCGUUAUUUCUUAUGCAUAUUUAUUUUUAUUUAAAUCAUAUUAAUCUAUGCUCACAGCAUCAAAUCUCAUAUAAAUAAGAGUUCAUAAAGAACAGCUUUAGGGGAGUUCCCGUUGUGGCUCAGUGGUUAACAAAUCUGACUAGGAACCAUGAGGUUACAGGUUUGAUCCCUGGCCUCGCUCAGUGGGUUAAGGAUCCGGUGUUGCUGUGAGCUGUGGUGUAUGUCAAAGACGCAGCUCAGAUCCCGAGUUGCUGUGGCUGUGGUGGAGGCCAGCAGCUACAGCUCCGAUUCGACCCGUAGCCUGGGAACCUCCAUAUGCUGAGGGAGAACCCUAGAAAAUGCAAAAAGACAAAAAACAAAACAAAACAAAACAAAAAACAGCUUUAGGGAAUUCCCUGGUGGCCUAGCAGUUUGCUGUAGCAGAGGGAACAGCAGAUAUAAGGCAUGGCUGUGAGGUAAAAUUAUAUGAUGCUUAACAACUGCAGCUGUGGGGUUUGUGUGUAGCUGGAAGGGUAGGGCAGUGGGAGAUGCAUGCUAAAGGCAUUUCUCUGUCUCACUGACCCGAUUGGGAUACCUUAAUUUGUGCCCAGAGGCACAUACUUUCUUAAUUUGGGGGUUUACAUGUCCUGGUCAGUUUUUCAUUCUGUACAACCAUAGGAAUGAGGCUACUGGCAUAUAUCAUGCCAAAGUAAUUACUGAAGGAGUUCCCUGGUGGCUUAGCAGGUUGAGGAUCCAGUGUUGUCACUGCUGUGGCUCAAGUCCGGGUGGAGGUUUGAUUACUGGCCCAGGAACUUCUGCAUGCUGUGGGAGUGGCCCCCCACCCCAAACGCAAAGCUUUAGUCUGCCUUUAGUUCUACUGAUAGUUACUUCCAUAAUUCUAAAUGAUCCUUAUAUCUCUCUUUUUUUUAAGGUUCAACUGUAAAGUUGUAAUUUGGAAAUAAAGGUAGAUUACAUAGGAACAGGUUACAUUGCAUAAUUCUUCCAUUACAGUGCCUUCCCCAGACGGGAGAAAACAAACUCCACAGGCCUAAGAGUCUUCGAAAGUCAUGGUUCUACUGCACAGCAGAGUGAGCAUUCAGCUUGCAGGCCCAGCAUCUUCUGUGUCAAGAUACAUGGAAGAGAAGCAGCCAGAGGAGGUUCUGAUGCUAAUUGUCACUGAAAACAUCAAUCACAGAGCAUUUGCAAAGAUGGGAGGAGAUGAUAUUCCCUAGGAAAAAGAUCUGUUAGAAAUAUGAACCCUGGAUCUUACAGCAAAGUGCCUCACAUUUAAAUUUUACUAGAUGCAGUUCUUCUUUGUGGGACAAAAAACUAAGCAGGAAUGAUUGGGAAUGACUUCUGUCACCAAUGCUACCAAGUGAUCAGGGUCCAGCUUUUUCAGAGUGUCCGAAUACUGCACAACGAGAGGCAGGAACAAGGUGGUUAGCCAUCCUGAAAGCCUUUCCUCUUGCCAGAAAGGUGAAGGACUUUGAACGAAUAUCAAGUGGAAAAGCAGAAUGAAAAAUUUCAUUCAGUAAAAUCUUCACGGAAGGCCCACGGGCCAGGCGCUGUUUCAGGAGCUACAGAUACCGUAGCGACCCCGCCAGGAUCCUGGACCCCGCAUUCUCUAC